CCAAUGUGGAUAUCCCGGGAGGUCACUCUCCCUGGGCACUGUCCAAAUGGUGUAGGGGAGCAUAGGGCUCUGCCUAAUGAUGUACAGUCCCUUUCCACACCGUUGGAGAUCAAGCUGGGCCUUGAGUCUGCGCCUGCAUAUUCCUACGACUUCUCAGAGUCCUCUGGACCAUGACUGAGGAGACAAACCAUGCAGGAAACAAUA